UAUAAACUGAAUGUAAAUUUAUUACUGGAG
rnacentral:piRNA from 1 species